rnacentral:rRNA from 1 species
AUUGAACGCUGGCGGCAGGCCUAACACAUGCAAGUCGAGCGCGAAAGUUCUUCGAAAUGAGUAAAGCGGCGGACGGGUGAGUAAUACAUGGGAAUCUGCCUGGUAGUGGGGGACAACGUUUCGAAAGGAACGCUAAUACCGCAUACGCCCUACGGGGGAAAGGGGGGGAUCUUCGGACCUCUCGCUAUCAGAUGAGCCCA